rnacentral:rRNA from 1 species
UACGGGGGGGGCAAGCGUUGUUCGGAAUUACUGGGCGUAAAGGGCUCGUAGGCGGCCAACUAAGUCGGACGUGAAAUCCCUCGGCUUAACCGGGGAACUGCGUCCGAUACUGGAUGGCUGGAGUAUGGGUGAGGGAUGCGGAAUUCCAGGUGUAGCGGUGAAAUGCGUAGAUAUCUGGAGGAACACCGGUGGCGAAGGCGGCAUCCUGGACCAUUACUGACGCUGAAUAGCGAAAGCCAGGGGAGCAAACGGG